ensembl:lncRNA
AUAGAUGUAUGUACAAAGAGAUAUACAGACAGAGUGACAGAAUGAUGGAACGAUAGAUAGAUAGAUAGAUAGAUAGAUAGAUAGAUAGAUAGAUAGAUAGAUAGAUAGAUACUCUAUUCAAAUAAACAUAAGGAUAUACAGAGAUUUGAUCCCUGAUUUAUGAUCUGCACACACACACACACAAACUCCUACACACCCAAAGUCCAUUAAACGUUCAACACGAACAUAACCUUUCAGGUCAAAGUUGUUCCACAAGUGAUCUGAUCAGUAUCUGCAUGCAAAUCCAGACUCACAGUGUGCUGUUGUUAUGCAAUUUACAGUUCCAUCACAAUAAUGAUAUGCAUUACAAAAUAGCAUUUGUUAAGUAUUUCAAAAGGGGGUUGAAAGGGCCCAUAAAGUUCGGAAGGUCUUCCCACAGAAUUCUACAGCUCACAAUAGUCCUCUGCCAUUUCAGUUCAGCUGCUGAACAGAACUAAAGAGUUCUGUCCUGUAAUUGCUGUCAUUUAUGCAAUGCAUAAUUCAUGUGUUUGCAUUGCACAUAUGCAUACAUAACAUGCAAUGAGGGUGUUUUCACCAUCCGAGCUUUCAACAGGGGAUUUCGACUUCCUCUCCUCUACAUUAAAGCAGCCUGGUUUAUAUUCCACAUUCCAAGUGUUGCACAAGAUUACAGUAUUACUGACCUUGGCUGACUGCAUUCAUUUUCCCAGAAGAGUCUUGAAGACGAGGAGGAAUGAAUCUCUGUGGUUCUGGAGAGUGGAAAUACUCUGGUGUGAUGCUCUGUGCUGUUUCUCAGGGCUUCUCACCCGCCCAAUGAGAGGGUCCCUCUUCCCCCUCCUCGCCUUCUCAUUGUACAAAGACAUACAGGUGGAGAAAGCAUAGCGAAAGGAUUUGAGCCCGCCGUGCACCUGCCCCCUGAAGCCAGCCAAACACAGACAGACACUUCAGUCCUUCUCUACAGGAGUCCUGCUCUGUGGCCACAAAAUCUCUAAGAUCCGUUUCUCUUUUCUUUGCUAUCGAAUCUUGUCUUUUGUUGUGCUAUCAAACUUGCUCCCGUUUCCCAGAGGAAAAGUUUACUGCUCUUUCACCACUCAGGAGACUGAAAAGAAUUCUCAUGUCUUUCUGGAACUCAGCUGGAACUCAGUUUCUCCUAAAAGAUCCUCAAGGCAAAUAAAAAGAUACAGAUGAGAUAAUUAAUGACA